UCGGGAAUUUUGGGCAAUGGGCGAAAGCCUGACCCAGCAACGCCGCGUGAGGGAUGAAGUAUUUCGGUAUGUAAACCUCGAAAGAAUGGGAAGAAUAAAUGACGGUACCAUUUAUAAGCUCCGGCUAACUACGUGCCAGCAGCCGCGGUAAUACGUAGGGAGCAAGCGUUGUUCGGAUUUACUGGGCGUAAAGGGCGCGUAGGCGGCGCGGUAAGUCACUUGUGAAAUCUCUGAGCUUAACUCAGAACGGCCAAGUGAUACUGCCGUGCUAGAGUGCGGAAGAGGCAACCGGAACUCUCGGUGUAGCGGUGAAAUGAGUAGGUAUCAAGAGGAACACCUGAGGCGAAGGCGGGUUGCUGGGCCGACACUGACGCUGAUGCGCGAAAGCCAGGG
rnacentral:rRNA from 1 species